GCCCCUCUCCUAGGCAGUGGGGUCCUCAGCCCACUCCAUGCUCCAACUGCCACUCCUUUAACUGUCACUCAGAACUUUGCUUCUCAGUUCCAGCACCUGCCUGCCUCUCAGAUGGCUGCUGGCUUAGGAGCCAGGGAAGCUUUUUGAGGACCAGGACAGCUAUGGAAGAAACCAACUUGGUUAUUUGAGCAUCUUUUAGUGCUUUUCAGCUGUGCAUGAAGACUGCUUUCUUCAGAGGAGCUCCAGACUUUACCAAAAAGGGAAAUACUUCUUUUUCUCUUCAAAAUGAAAAUGGACUUGGGGAUCAGUGAGCCAAUAGACUUCAGUUCUGGAGAUCAUCAACAGCUGGUCCGGAAAACAGCAGAUCAUAAAACCAAGAGCAAAUCUGGUCACAGAACUUCACCUUCAUCUGAGCCAAAAAUAUCUCGUGGGCAUCCACACUCAAAGACUAGUAGCCAAGGGGAUUCAUAUGUGGUAGAAAUUUCAGAGGAGACCACCCAAGAUGACAACAAUGCUGCAGCCGGCCCAUUCUCAGACUCAUCAGUCCGCAGAGCUUUCAUUGUAAAAGUGUUCCUCAUCCUGUCAGCUCAGUUGGUGGUCACUGUGGCAAUUACCAGCGUGUUUGUUUUCUGGAAGGCUUUAAGAGUUUGGGUGCGCAACCAUGCCUGGUUCACCUAUGCAAUCUUGCCAGCAUUUUUUGUUGUACUUAUUAUACUUGCUUGCUGUGGGAAAAUCCGCCGUCAGGUGCCUGGAAAUUACAUUCUCCUGGGAGUAUUUACAGUUCUUCAAGGUCUGCUGCUAGGAGCCGUGACAGUUUUCUAUAAUGCCGAGGAAGUGUUAUGGGCAACGGCAGCAACUGCUCUGUUGACGUUAUCGCUCACUUUAUUUGCUCUUCAAACAAAAUGGGAUUUCACCUUGCUAAAUGGAGUGCUGUUCGUUUUACUCUUCGUGCUUUUAAUCUUUGGAAUUUUCUUAAUCUUCAUACGAUCAUAUUGGGCACAGCUGUUGUAUGCCGGACUGGGAACCGUGGUCUUCUCACUCUGAAUGAAAGUUCCUGUUCCUCUACAUCCCUGCCAGCAUUUGGUGUUGUCAGUGUUCCAGAUUUUGGCCAAUCUAAUAGUACAUGGUGAUGGAUGUGCAGCUCAUGGUGGGAGGGCAACAUCAUCAUUCUGACCUGGACCCUGAAGAGUAUGUUUUUGCUGCCCUGAACAUCUACUUGGACAUAAUCAACCUUUUGCUUUUUAUUUUGGAACUGAUUGGACUGCUACGGUAGUCAUGCGGCCAAGGCUGGCUUGUGUUGGGGGGGAGAGAGGGACACUGUGAAGUGUCACCAGGCUUGGACAUGCAGAGGUUACCACUUUGUAAGCCCUCUUAUUUUAAAAAAUGUUUGAAAAUACUUAUUUGUUUUCUCAAGUGGAACCAAGCAUUCAGUAGAUGGUAGCUGUAGCUGUUAUGUUUUUAGUUCCAUUGUCACACCUCAAAACUUUCUGGGGGACAUUUCUGAUUUUUAUAAAUUCAAAAGAUGAGUACCAUAAUUACAUACUUAAAAACAUUUGUAAGAUUCCCAUUACUUUGUUGAAGUUUUCCAGGGGCUCUUUAAAGCUGUAAACUACAUCACUCUACAUAAAUAAAAUUGAUUACAGAAACCUGUG